rnacentral:tRNA from 1 species
GGGGGUGUGGCUGAGUAGUGAAGCACGUAGCUAGCGUGCAUGAGGCCCUGGGUUCCAUCUCCAGCACCCCCU